rnacentral:rRNA from 1 species
GUGGGGAAUAUUGCGCAAUGGAGGAAACUCUGACGCAGCAACGCCGCGUGAGUGAUGAAGGUCUUCGGAUUGUAAAGCUCUGUCUUCAGGGACGAUAAUGACGGUACCUGAGGAGGAAGCCACGGCUAACUACGUGCCAGCAGCCGCGGUAAUACGUAGGUGGCAAGCGUUGUCCGGAUUUAUUGGGCGUAAAGCAUGCGUAGGCGGAUACUUAAGUGGGAUGUGAAAACCCGGGGCUCAACUCCGGACCUGCAUUCCAAACUGGGUGUCUAGAGUACAGGAGAGGAAAGGGGAAUUCCUAGUGUAGCGGUGAAAUGCGUAGAGAUUAGGAAGAACACCAGUGGCGAAGGCGCCUUUCUGGACUGUAACUGACGCUGAGGCAUGAAAGCGUGGGUAGCAAACAGG